rnacentral:rRNA from 1 species
GAUGAACGCUGGCGGCGUGCUUAACACAUGCAAGUCGAACGAAGCACUUUAACCUGAUUCUUCGGAUGAAGGUUUUUGUGACUGAGUGGCGGACGGGUGAGUAACGCGUGGGUAACCUGCCUCAUACAGGGGGAUAACAGUUAGAAAUGACUGCUAAUACCGCAUAAGACCACAGAGCCGCAUGGCUCGGUGGGAAAAACUCCGGUGGUAUGAGAUGGACCCGCGUCUGAUUAGGUAGUUGGUGGGGUAACGGCCUACCAAGCCAUCGAUCAGUAGCCGACCUGAGAGGGUGACCGGCCACAUUGGGACUGAGACACGGCCCAAACUCCUACGGGAGGCAGCAGUGGGGAAUAUUGCACAAUGGGGGAAACCCUGAUGCAGCGACGCCGCGUGAGCGAAGAAGUAUUUCGGUAUGUAAAGCUCUAUCAGCAGGGAAGAAAAUGACGGUACCUGACUAAGAAGCACCGGCUAAAUACGUG